AGCGGCGGACGGGUGAGUAACACGUGGGUAACCUGCCCAAGAGACUGGGAUAACACCUGGAAACAGAUGCUAAUACCGGAUAACAACACUAGACGCAUGUCUAGAGUUUAAAAGAUGGUUCUGCUAUCACUCUUGAAUGGACCUGCGGUGCAUUAGCUAGUUGGUAAGGUAACGGCUUACCAAGGCAAUGAUGCAUAGCCGAGUUGAGAGACUGAUCGGCCACAUUGGGACUGAGACACGGCCCAAACUCCUACGGGAGGCAGCAGUCGGGAAUAUUGCGCAAUGGAGGAAACUCUGACGCAGUGGCGCCGCGUAUAGGAAGAAGGUUUUCGGAUUGUAAACUAUUGUCGUUAGGGAAGAAAAAAGACAGUACCUAAGGAGGAAGCUCCGGCUAACUACGUGCCAGCAGCCGCGGUAAUACGUAGGGGGCAAGCGUUAUCCGGAUUUACUGGGUGUAAAGGGAGCGUAGACGGCAGCGCAAGUCUGGAGUGAAAUGCCGGGGCCCAACCCCGGAACUGCUUUGGAAACUGUGCAGCUUGAGUGCGGGAGAGGUAAGUGGAAUUCCUAGUGUAGCGGUGAAAUGCGUAGAUAUUAGGAGGAACACCAGUGGCGAAGGCGGCUUACUGGACCGUAACUGACGUUGAGGCUCGAAAGCGUGGGGAGCAAACAGGAUUAGAUACCCUGGUA
rnacentral:rRNA from 1 species